rfam:Felis catus isolate Cinnamon breed Abyssinian chromosome F2, whole genome shotgun sequence.
GCCUGGGUGGCUCAGUCGGUUGAGCAUCUGACUUCGGCUCAGGUCAUGAUCUCACAGUCUGUGAGUUCGAGCCCUGCGUCGGGCU